rfam:Schistosoma rodhaini strain Burundi genome assembly, scaffold: SROB_scaffold0000528
AUCCAGCUGACGAGUCCCAAAUUAGACGAAGCGUUAGUUCUGGAU